rnacentral:rRNA from 1 species
AAAUAGAUACCCGGGUAGUCCACGCCGUAAACGAUGUCGACUUGGAGGUUGUGCCCUUGAGGCGUGGCUUCCGGAGCUAACGCGUUAAGUCGACCGCCUGGGGAGUACGGCCGCAAGGUUAAAACUCAAAUGAAUUGACGGGGGCCCGCACAAGCGGUGGAGCAUGUGGUUUAAUUCGAUGCAACGCGAAGAACCUUACCUACUCUUGACAUCCAGAGAACUUAGCAGAGAUGCUUUGGUGCCUUCGGGAACCCUGAGACAGGUGCUGCAUGGCUGUCGUCAGCUCGUGUUGUGAAAUGUUGGGUUAAGUCCCGCAACGAGCGCAACCCUUAUCCUUUGUUGCCAGCGGUUAGGCCGGGAACUCAAAGGAGACUGCCAGUGAUAAACUGGAGGAAGGUGGGGAUGACGGUCAAGUCAUCAUGGCCCUUACGAGUAGGGCUACACACGUGCUACAAUGGCAUAUACAAAGAGAAGCGACCUCGCGAGAGCAAGCGGACCUCAUAAAGUAUGUCGUAGUCCGGAUUGGAGUCUGCAACG